AUUGAAUUCAGCACUGCUUGGCAGACCUCCAACUUUACACAGUACCUGGGUUCCACCUAGAGAGGGUGCCAGCCCUCUCUGCUCUGCUCGGCGCCCCUCCUCUGUCUGCAUCCCCAGGACCACCCUUGGUGGAGAGGGCAGAAAUUGGGGAGCACCUGUGGGAGGCUCUAAUCCUGGCCCUGGGCCCUGGUGGUGACAGUGAUGAGGACCUGGGUGCACCUGUGAGUGGAGCAGCUAGGCCUGGCCAGAGAAGCAAGACAAACACACCCAUAUGUACACACACACACACACACACGCAUACACAAACACAAUGCAUGCACACAUGUCAGUUCAGGGGAUAGAGGACACUGACUCUGGGCCCUCUUGACCCAAGCAGGCUCCUGUUGUGGUGGGUUGUGUCAUCCCACGAUGUCACUCUUGCUGAGUCCCCAUCGCCUCUGUGUUUUGGAGCAGUUAGAGACACACAGCAGUCUCUGUGAGUGGCUCUGCGUGAAGGAUUGUUUUCUAGGUGAGAUGCACAUCUCAACACAGCUGACUGCUCAGACUCAGCAAUUCCAUUCUGCAUCUCCUCUGGACACCCCCAGGACCACCAGGACAACCC
rnacentral:lncRNA from 1 species